GUACGGGAGGCAGCAGUCGGGAAUUUUGCGCAAUGGGCGAAAGCCUGACGCAGCAACGCCGCGUGAGGGAUGAAGGCCUUCGGGUUGUAAACCUCUUUUCUCAGGGACGAUGAUGACGGUACCUGAGGAAUAAGCCACGGCUAACUACGUGCCAGCAGCCGCGGUAAUACGUAGGUGGCAAGCGUUGUCCGGAUUUACUGGGCGUAAAGAGCGCGCAGGCGGUCGUUCAAGUCGCGUGUGAAAGCCCCCGGCUCAACUGGGGAGGGUCACGCGAUACUGAUCGACUAGAAGGCGGGAGAGGGAAGCGGAAUUCCCGGUGUAGUGGUGAAAUGCGUAGAUAUCGGGAGGAACACCAGUGGCGAAGGCGGCUUCCUGGCCCGUUCUUGACGCUGAGGCGCGAAAGCUAGGGGAGCAAACGGGAUUAGAUACCCCGGUAGC
rnacentral:rRNA from 1 species